CACUCAACACUGUAGCUACAUUAACGCUACAUCCGUGAUUACAACCUCCUCGGGUCAUUUCAUGGAUGGAAAACUUCAAAACAUGGAAGGUAGACGAGAUACCACCAUCCGCUGCUUGAUGGAGUUCCUUGGAGAGUCUCCAGAGCACCUCAUCAACGACUACCAGUGCUUAUGUCACUUCACUGCAGAAGCCAAGCUGUUCAUUUUAAACAUGGUGGACUUCCUGUAUGUCACACUACAACAUCACGACCUUCACUGCAACCCGUCGUGUUAUUUACAGACAGAUCUGCACUGUACCAGUGAAGCAUGGUGAAGAAGGAGCUCACAUGUACACAUUUUU
ensembl:lncRNA